rnacentral:tRNA from 1 species
GGAAAGAUGCUCGAGUGGUUGAAGAGGCACGCCUGGAAAGCGUCAAAAGCGCUUCGGGGGUUCGAAUCCCCCUCUUUCCG